UACGGAGGGGGCUAGCGUUGUUCGGAAUUACUGGGCGUAAAGCGCACGUAGGCGGCUUUGUAAGUUAGAGGUGAAAGCCCGGAGCUCAACUCCGGAACUGCCUUUAAGACUGCAUCGCUAGAACGUUGGAGAGGUAAGUGGAAUUCCGAGUGUAGAGGUGAAAUUCGUAGAUAUUCGGAAGAACACCAGUGGCGAAGGCGACUUACUGGACAACUGUUGACGCUGAGGUGCGAAAGCGUGGGGAGCAAACAGG
rnacentral:rRNA from 1 species